AUACGUAGGUGACAAGCGUUAUCCGGAUUUACUGGGCGUAAAGGGCGCGUAGGCGGGGGUGCAAGUCAGAUGUGAAAUCUAUGGGCUUAACUCAUAAACUGCAUUUGAAACUGUAUCUCUUGAGUGCUGGAGGGGAUAGCGGAAUUCCUAGUGGAGCGGUAAAAUGCGCAGAUAUUAGGAAGAACACCCGUGGCGAAGGCGGGUAUCUGGACAGUAACUGACGCUGAGGCGCGAAGGCGUGGGGAGCAAACAGGAUUAGAUACCCUGGUAGACCACGCCGUAAACGAUGAAUACUAGGUGUAGUGGGUAUCGACUCCCUCUGUGCCGCAGUUAACACAAUAAGUAUUCCGCCUGGGGAGUACGGCCGCAAGGUUGAAACUCAAAUGAAUUGACGGGG
rnacentral:rRNA from 1 species